CCUAGAAACGGAGGGAGGAAUGGGAUUCCGUGAUUACAUUGUUUUAGUCAAGCGAUGUUGGCUAAGCAAUGUUGGAUACUUAUAUAUGAACCUCACUCAUUAUGUGCCCAGGUACUUCAAACAAAAUAAUACACGGAUGGAGACCUUUUUAAAGUAGAGCUAUAAAAAGGUGUCUCGUUUACAUGGCGCGGUAUCAUGUCAGGAUUAAAGACUUUGAGGAGGGUGCAGUUUGGAGACCAGGUAGUGGGGCAAACAUUAAAAUUUGGUCAGAUGUUUGGAUUACAACUACUCAUGAUAGGCGUGUUUUGA
rnacentral:rRNA from 1 species